AUGGGAAUAUGCUUUCUCGUCUUCUUUCGAAGCUUAAGGCCUUUCGAUUAUUUGAAUGAAGGUACAAAAGAUAAGGCUUACCCCUUGCUCAACUUGAAGGUAAGUGCAGUUAUCCCUCCUUCAUCCUGUCUUAUUGCACGGGAAUUCGACGCAUCAACUAUGGCCAUUCCCUCCUCCAAUACGGCUUAUUCAUCUGCACCUUCUAUGGAAUAUUGUUAA